AUUUUAUCGGUCAAUCUUAAAUGCCUUUUCAUAAAUUGGGAUAAUUGCCUAUAUACCCUUCAUAUGUUUGAAAAUAUCCGAUUAUCCCUACUUUUUUUUUUCUUUCUAAAAUACUCCUCAUAUGUUCUACCGUUAUUGCAAAAUACUCUCGCAGUUAUCUCCUGUUAACUGUUAAGUUAACUUAGGUUAAACGUGAGUUAAAUAUCAACCACAGUUAAAAAAAAUUAAAAUGUUAAUUUUGCCCUUAACUUAAGGGCAAAUAAGAAAUGUUGGUGACAGUAUAAGAGUAUAUUUGAAAAGAUCAAAAGUCAAAAAACUUUUUGUGCCUCUGACUUUGCAAAUAAGAAAGUCAGUGAUGGUGGAAGGGUAUAUUUGAAAGGGCAAAAUAGUAAUUUUACAGAGAUAACAUAGUUCAUUAACAGAUUUUAACUCUAGAGGUAUAUUAGAAAUAGGUUGGAACGUAGAAAUGAUAUUUUCAAUAUUAGCCUUCUAAAAGGGGUAAAUUGAAAAGUCGGAAACUUUUCAGGGGUAUAUAAGCAAUUGCCCCUUCAUAAAUAAAUGUAAAGA
rnacentral:lncRNA from 1 species